GACGAACGCUGGCGGCGUGCCUAACACAUGCAAGUCGAGCGGAGUCGAUCGACGGAAGCCUUCGGGCGGAAGAUGGUUGACUUAGCGGCGGAUGGGUGAGUAACGCGUGGGCAACCUGCCUCGAAGACCGGGAUAACAGCCCGAAAGGGCUGCUAAUACCGGAUGUGGUCAAGGAUCCGCAUGGAUUUUUGAUUAAAGGGGAAACCCGUUUCGAGAUGGGCCCGCGUCCUAUCAGCUAGUUGGUGAGGUAAAAGCUCACCAAGGCGACGACGGGUAGCCGGCCUGAGAGGGUGACCGGCCACACUGGAACUGAGACACGGUCCAGACUCCUACGGGGGGCAGCAGUGGGGAAUCUUCCACAAUGGGCGAAAGCCUGAUGGAGCGACGCCGCGUGAGCGAAGAAGGCCUUGGGUUGUAAAGCUCUGUCUGGAGGGACGAAGGAAGUGACGGUACCUCCGGAGGAAGCCACGGCUAACUACGUG
rnacentral:rRNA from 1 species